rnacentral:lncRNA from 10 species
CUUUGGUGCACAGGAGUAGAGAGAGCCAGUGUGGACAGUCGGGAAGCUUGCGGGAUGGACCUCAGUUAAAAUGGUGCCAUCAGCAGGUGUUGGGGCUGUGAUGCUUGAAGUUUAGUUACAGGCGUUGGAAGAGGCACCUUGGAUUUAGUUGGGUUUCAGUUCCCCUCCUUGAAGAAGCAAAACAGAAACCAUUCCGUAUACCUCAGUCUUCGGUAAUGUGGACAGUUGAGUCCUUCUGUCAAGUCAGCUGUGCUCAGAGAUACACCGUGCGAUGCUGCAGUGGCUUUGCUCAUGAAGCCUUCGCCUGGGGAGACAGGCAGUCAGGUUCCUGGGAUGAGGCUGAGCGCCACAGUGAGUGUGAGGACGGACAGCUGAGGCUUUGGGAGCAUCGCAGGGGCCUGGUCUGAGGCCUGAGAAGGAGGGCAGUGGAGUCCAGGAAAGACCCUCAGGGGGAAGCGCCCCUGGAGAGCAGGAGGGACGGUGGAGUGCGCAGGUGGAGGCUCUCAAGCAGGUACUCCCGAGAGCGCCUCCUCUAUCACCACAGAUCCGCGUAGCCUGCAUCACUGAUCUCACCUCUAGGUACUCCUGAGAACUCCUCCUCCGUCUGUGGAUCUGCGUGGUCUCCAUCACUGAUCUUACCUCUAGGUAUUCCCGAGAGAGAGCGCCUCCUCCGUCACUGUGGAUCUGCGUAGCCCGCAUCACUGAUGUCACCUCUAGGUACUCCUGAGAACGUCUCCUCCAUCACUGUGGAUCCACGUAGUCUGCAUCACUGAGAUGUGUCGCGUCAUUUCUGUCUUCCUGUUGUGCGUUGCUUUGGCUGAAGUAUAGAAAUUGCAUCAAUCCACUGCCUUUCACCCCCGCGAAUAGCUUCCUAGGGCCACUGUAAUAAAUUACUACACAGUGGGUGGCUUAGAACAAUUUUAUUCCUCAGCCUCCUGGAGGCCACACGUCUGAAAUCAGGGUGUCAGCAGGGCAGUGCUCCCUGUGAAGGAUCCAGCGAGAAACUGUUCCAUGGUGUUCUCUUAGGUCCUGGUGUUGCCGACAACCCUUGCUGACCCUCGGCUGGCAGAGGCAUCACUCCCACCUCUGCCUCCGUCAUCACAGGGCCCUCUCCCUAUGUUGCGUGUCUGUCUCUGUGUCGCCUCUCCUCUUCUAAUAAGAACACCAGGAAUACCCACCCACAUGCCGGCACGGUGCUCCAUGCCUGUAAUCCUAGCUCUUUGGGAGGCCAAGGCAGGCAGAUCACUUGAGGCCAGAAGUUUGAGACCAGCCUAGGCAACCUGGCAACACCUCCUCUCUACAAAAAACAAAAAAAUUAGCCAGGUGUGGUGACUUGCACCUGUAGUCCCAGCUACUCAGGAGGCUGAGGUGGGAGGAUCGCUUGAGCCCUGGAGGUCAAGGCUUCAGUGAGCCAUGAUUGCACCACUGCACUCCCGCCUGGGUGACAAAGCAAGACCCUGUCUCAAACAAAACAAAACAAAACAAAAAAACUGAACCACACUACUCCAGUAUGGCCUCGUCUUAACCAAUUAUAUCUACAAUGACCGUCUUUCCAAAUAAAGUCACAUUUUGAGAUUAAAGGGGUUGGGACUUGAACAUGUCCUUUUGGGGGACACAGUUGAACCUACAGCUGUGGUGAGUAAGUGUCUCCAGGCUUUUGAUCUCCAGAAGCGUGUUACUACAUUCUCCUUUCCAUCUCGUGUUGUACAUGUGCAAGAGUUUCUCUUGGCUGGACACACACACGCAUACACAGAAUUGAAUGGCUGGAUCAAAAAGACAUUUACAACACAUGCUCACCAAAGGAAUGUUGCAAAAUGUUCCCCAGUUUGUAACGUCUCUUUUCACUUAAAGUCUUCCUGAUUCACAAAAGUUGUUAAUUUUAAUAUGGUUCAACUUAUUGAUACUUCUUUCAGUUCAUGUUUAAAAUAUCCUUUCCUAUCCCAUAGUUGAAAAGAUAUUCACUUACAUUUUAUUUUAUUUUAUUUUUUGUGGUGGAGUUUCGCUCUGUUGCUCAGGCUGGAGUGCAAUGGCCCGAUCUCUGCUCACCACAACCUCCGCCUCCUGGGUUCAAGCAAUUCUCCUGCCUCAGCCUCCCGAGUAGCUGGGAUUACAGGCAUGCACUACCACACCCGGCUAAUUUUGUAUUUUUAGAAGAGACGAGGUUUCUCCAUGUUGGCCAAGGCUGGUCUCGAACUCCCAAACUCAGGUGAUCCGCCCACCUUGGCCUCCCAAAGUGCUGGGAUUAUAGGCUGGGCCACUGAGCCCAGCCUUUCACUUACACUUUAUACUAGGAAUUUUUAAGUUUUGUUUUUGACAGAUGAACCUUGAUCCAUCAGGAGUUGCUUUUUGCAUAUAGUGUAAGAUAG